GACGAACGCUGGCGGCGUGCUUAACACAUGCAAGUCGAGCGGUAAGGCCCUUUCGGGGGUACACGAGCGGCGAACGGGUGAGUAACACGUGGGUGACCUGCCCUCAACUCUGGGAUAAGCCUGGGAAACCGGGUCUAAUACUGGAUAUGACUCCAUGACGCAUGUUGUGGGGUGGAAAGCCUUGUGCGGCUGAGGAUGGGCCCGCGGCCUAUCAGCUUGUUGGUGGGGUGANGGCCUACCAAGGCGACGACGGGUAGCCGGCCUGAGAGGGCGACCGGCCACACUGGGACUGAGACACGGCCCAGACUCCUACGGGAGGCAGCAGUGGGGAAUCUUGCGCAAUGGGCGAAAGCCUGACGCAGCGACGCCGCGUGAGGGAUGACGGCCUGGUU
rnacentral:rRNA from 1 species